rnacentral:rRNA from 1 species
CAGUAGCCACGGGAAUACGUAGGGGGCCAGCGUUGUCCGAAGUUACUGGGCGUAAAGAGCGCGUAGGCGGGUCUUUAAGUGAGGGGUGAAAGGUUCGGGCUCAACCCGGACACUGCCUUUCAUACUGGGGACCUUGAGUGUGGGAGAGGCUAGUGGAAUUCUUGGUGUAGCGGUGAAAUGCGUAGAUAUCAAGAGGAACACCCAUGGCGAAGGCAGCUCGCUGGCCUAUAACUGACGCUGAGGCGCAAAAGCUGGGGGAGCAAACAGGAUUAGAUACCCCCGUAGUCCCUGUCUCUUAUAC